rnacentral:lncRNA from 1 species
GCUGUCUAGAUAGAAGGACCCAGGACGCUUCUUUCCUCAAAGCAAAAGAUGGCAAGUCCGACAAAACAGCCCAAGAUCGAGACUGAGACGCUAUCUGGAUUCAUCCACCAGGUUUCCCCGAUUAAAUUUUCUGCAACCAGCUCCGAGUUCUUUAAUGCAGUGAUCCAGACCGACCGGGAGGAAUUCCACGACGCCGUCGUAUUCAGCCCGGGUAAAAGGCAGAGGUUUCUGCAAGCGCAACAGAACGGGACCCCUUUGCGCUUAACAAACGUCAGGAAAACCCUAAGUUUGAAGGGAACAUCGGACUACGACGUCCUGCUAAACUACAAAACAGACGUGACGGUGACCACUGUGCCGUUCGCCGCAAGACAUCCCCCCGCGGAUGAAAAAACAACCCUGCGUGAAGUUAGUGCGAUGCCUGCUGGGAAAACGGUAAAUACUCUAUACACUCCAUGUAUUGCUAGUAAUCUUUGAACAUUUUUUUUGCCACACUGACAGUUCAUUUCGGUUGCCCUUAUUAUCUCUGCCUACAGGUCAGCCUAGUUGAAUGCAAGGUGUUCAGUGUCAGCCCAUCCUCUUCUACAGUGAAGGUACGAGGUACAGACCGGGAGGUGAGGAGCUGCCGCAUUUCGGACGGCACAGCGGAACUUCAGCUGCAGCUCUGGGAGAAGCAUAUUGAGAAGGUACAGAAUUUGAAGUCCUACGCCUUCUCUCGCCUGUCUACGCGGGUCUUCAACGGGAAAGUCCAACUCACCACCACAUUAGCCACUGAGUGCACAGUUGUGGCAGACCUUCCGGUGUCCGAGGCGUCCGGUAGCUCCGAGGAUGCCCAGCUGAUGUCAGUAGCUGGAGCUAUUCUAGCACUGGAAAUCAGAGCUACCAUGAAGUGCCCACAGUGCGGCAGUAGACAGGACACUUUUAAAGACUCUACCAAGUUCCACCGGUGUCAGAACUGCCGCAUGAUGCAGAAGGGGAAUAUGUUUCUCAGGCUGCUCUCGGGAACAAUUAAGGUCGCAGGGCAGCAGGAGCGGCAUACGCUGUCUGUCAGCAAUCGGGCACUGGAAGCUUAUAUCAAGCGCUACAACCUCCAGAGCUUGCUAAACGUAGAGGAAAUCGAGGAGCACUUCCUUGAACAAUCUCAGAUCUCAGUGUCGUUUGACAAUGAGCUUCGGGUGAUUGAGUUGCUACAGCCUGACACAGAGGCUCUCUGCGCAGCAGAGGAAGAGGCCACGGCCGGUGAGUUUAGCAGCGCGGAGUAAAGCAGCGCGGAGCAAAGCUGUGCAGUACAAGACCAGAACUCGCUAACGGAAAUGUGAGUACAUGUAAAU